rnacentral:rRNA from 1 species
AUGCAAGUCGAGCGCGAAAGGAGCAAUCCGAGUAGAGCGGCGCACGGGUGCGUAACACGUGGGUAAUCUGCCUCAGGGUCAGGGAUAACCUUCCGAAAGGUUGGCUAAUACCUGGUAAGCUUACGGCGUCUUCGGGCGCUGUUGGAAAAGUAGGCCUCUGUUUACAAGCUUACGCCCAGAGAUGAGCCCGCGGCCCAUCAGCUAGUUGGCGGGGUAACGGCCCACCAAGGCAACGACGGGUAGCUGGUCUGAGAGGACGAUCAGCCACACUGGAACUGAGACACGGUCCAGACUCCUACGGGAGGCAGCAGUGGGGAAUUUUCCACAAUGGGCGAAAGCCUGAUGGAGCAACGCCGCGUGUGUGAUGAAGGUUUUCGGAUCGCAAAGCACUUUCGACCGGGACGAAAAACCUCUGGCUAACAUCCAGGGGCCUGACGGUACCGGGAGAAGAAGCACCGGCUAACCCUGUGCCAGCAGCCGCGGUAAUACAGAGGGUGCAAGCGUUGUUCGGAAUUAUUGGGCGUAAAGCGCGUGUAGGCGGCUUAGCAAGUCAGAUGUGAAAGCCCUCGGCUUAACCGAGGAAGUGCGUCUGAAACUGCUGAGCUUGAGUGUCGGAGAGGAUGGCGGAAUUCCGCAAGUAGAGGUGAAAUUCGUAGAUAUGCGGAGGAACACCGGUGGCGAAGGCGGCCAUCUGGACGACCACUGACGCUGAGACGCGAAAGCG